rnacentral:lncRNA from 1 species
CCCUUCUUCAUUGCCUUCCUUCAAUUUUUCAAGAUAUCACCAUGUUCGGUGGUACCCAAUUCAUGGCGGCACAUCUGUGGUUUCAUCGCGGUGUGCAUGUUGGCCAGGAUCGAGCUCAGCAUUGCACUUUUUCACCUCUUCUUCAGCCUUAAGAGGCAUCUAGAAUCCCAUGGAUGGUGGUAGGUGUCACCACGGAGAAAGAAAAAUAUCCGACCACUAAUCCAAGAUGUCCUGAUUGCUGUUC